rnacentral:rRNA from 1 species
CCUACGGGAGGCAGCAGUGAGGAAUAUUGGUCAAUGGGCGCGAGCCUGAACCAGCCAAGUAGCGUGAAGGAUGAGGGCCCUACGGGUUGUAAACUUCUUUUAUAAAGGAAUAAAGUGAGGCACGUGUGCCUUGUUGUAUGUACUUUAUGAAUAAGGAUCGGCUAACUCCGUGCCAGCAGCCGCGGUAAUACGGAGGAUCCGAGCGUUAUCCGGAUUUAUGGGGUUUAAAGGGAGCGUAGAUGGGUUGUUAAGUCAGUUGUGAAAGUUUGCGGCUCCACCGUAAAAUUGCAAUUGAUACGGGCAGUCUUGUGUACAGUUGAGGUCGGCGGCUUUCGUGGUGUAGCGGUUAACUUCUUCGAUAUCAC